rnacentral:rRNA from 1 species
GACGAACGCUGGCGGCGUGCUUAACACAUGCAAGUCGAACGGAAAGGCCCUGCUUUUGUGGGGUGCUCGAGUGGCGAACGGGUGAGUAACACGUGAGUAACCUGCCCUUGACUUUGGGAUAACUUCAGGAAACUGGGGCUAAUACCGGCUAGGAGCUCCUGCUGCAUGGUGGGGGUUGGAAAGUUUCGGCGGUUGGGGAUGGAAUCGCGGCGUAUCAGCUUGUUGGUGGGGUAGUGGCUUACCAAGGCUUUGACGGGUAGCCGGCCUGAGAGGGUGACCGGCCACAUUGGGACUGAGAUACGGCCCAGCCUCCUACGGGAGGCAGCAGUGGGGAAUAGUGCACAAUGGGCGGAAGCCUGAUGCAGCAACGCCGCGUGCGGGAUGACGGCCUUCGGGUUGUAAACCGCUUUCGCCUGUGACGAAGCGUGAGUGACGGUAAUGGGUAAAGAAGCACCGGCUAACUACGUG